UACGUAGGGCGCAAGCGUUAUCCGGAAUUAUUGGGCGUAAAGAGCUCGUAGGCGGUUUGUCGCGUCUGCCGUGAAAGUCCGGGCUCAACUCCGGAUCUGCGGUGGGUACGGGCAGACUAGAGUGAUGUAGGGGAGACUGGAAUUCCUGGUGUAGCGGUGAAAUGCGCAGAUAUCAGGAGGAACACCGGUGGCGAAGGCGGGUCUCUGGGCCGAAUACUGACGUGAGGAGCGAAAGCAUGGGUAGCGAACAGG
rnacentral:rRNA from 1 species